rnacentral:tRNA from 1 species
UCCUCGUUAGUAUAGUGGUUAGUAUACCCGCCUGUCACCGCGGGUGACGCCCGGUUCAAUUCCCGGACGGGGAG